GGAGGGCUGCGGUUAGAGCUGAGAAGUAAGCAGUGGCCCUCCCUUCGGUGCCGCACAGAGAUGUCCACCGACCUUCCCCUCCUGCGUGCCUGGAGCGCUAUCCUGGGCAGCCGCAGGACUGUGUGUCGCCCCCUCCCUCAGCGCUCACCCGGAGCGCCCGCGUCUCCUUCGCUUGCGGUUUCUGGUCGGCUCCCAGCUGGCCCAGACUUGCUCUAAAGUAGGAGGAACCGCUGUCGAGCGAAAAGUGCACACCGGCACCAACAAAGCAGGAAGGGCAGAGGAUUCAUCCAUCAGGCCUUGUGCUAUCCAUCCAGACUUUCUGAGAGAGAAAUCUACAAGAGCCAGCCCUUAAAAGUGUGGCUUAGUUUCUCAAAGAAGGACCAAAGUUUUGUCAAGAACACCCAGAUGAAGACCUUCCUAGACCUGUAAACUGGGAUUACCAAGUUCUUGACUUCACAAGGAAGUUUCAACCAAUUCUGAUGGAACAACCAGAGAGGCCCAAAUGACUGCCACCCAUGAGCCAAGGACCUGAUCUCUUUCCUUUAGACCUAAUACUCUACCGGAGAUCCACAACCUUCCUAAUCCCCACCCCCUCCUCGUCCCGCCCCCGCGCCUCAAAAACUAUGGAGAAAAAGAAGGUGUGCCCAAGGCUGGACCGAAGUCAUCCUGCCCCUUCUUCAAAAGAGAGACACCUCCCAAGGCCAACGCCCUCCGGAGGGGCCCAGGUGCUCCUCCCUUCUGGCAUCUAUUCCGUCUGGCAUCUAUUCCGUCUGGCAUCUAUUCCUCUGCAAAGGAUCAGAAAGGAAGCCGCUGGCUCAAUGGAUUCUGGAUUUCGGGUAGACCUGACUGCUUUGGGGCAUCCUCAAUCGGGCGGUGAAGCCUCUGGGGGCAGAGGAGCGUCGUGGGAGAGGAGCGUCGUGGGAGAAAGACAAGCUAGGCUGCUGCUUCCCUACCCAUGCCAACUUCCCGGGUCUCGUCUUGAAACAAGAGCAGAGGCCUGAGACCCGGGCGCCAUUGCUGGCCAGGCUCCCCUCCCCCACACUCCUUUCUUUGCUUCUCGAAGACCCGGGAGGGAGGAGGCGGCGAGCGCCUCGGUGGAUAGAGCUGCUAUUGUGACCUUCCCGGGCUAAGCGGGGAACCCAGCGGAGUGUGUACUGCCCGCGGUGGCGGGGGAGGAGGUGACUGUGUGCAAGCCUCGAGUGCAGAGGGGGUGGCACCCGGGAAUAAAUAAAGGCUUGCAACC
rnacentral:lncRNA from 1 species